CUUAGCUAAACCACGGUCAUUAAAAUGACUUUUCCCAUCCCUAGUGUGGUAGGAAACAUAAACUUGGAUCUACACUUCACUGGACUCCAAAACAGUAUAAUGUAAACUAUUACAUGACAAAUCAGUAUUUCAGAACAGAAUGCCAUAUUUGCUGUAUUAGAAAAAUGUGACUUCUCCAAUGGUUUUAUGACUGUAAGUGAUAAUUUUAGAGGAAUCAUGAUUUCCCUCACGAGAGUCUUAAACUUAUGCUAAUGCUGCUGCUAAAAUUAGAAAGUCAGAAAUGGCACUCGGAACGUGAUGUCACUGCCACAUCUGUAUCAAAAAUUCAAUUUGUUUUACACAUG